UAACACGUGGGUAACCUGCCUUAUAGUGGGGGAUAGCCUUUCGAAAGGAAGAUUAAUACCGCAUAAGAUUGUAGUAUCGCAUGAUAUAGCAAUUAAAGGAGCAAUCCGCUAUAAGAUGGACCCGCGUCGCAUUAGCUAGUAGGUGGGGUAACGGCUCACCUAGGCGACGAUCCCUAGCUGGUCUGAGAGGAUGACCAGCCACACUGGAACUGAGACACGGUCCAGACUCCUACGGGAGGCAGCAUG
rnacentral:rRNA from 1 species